GAGACAGAUUGCUAAUACCGUAUAACAAUUAGAACCCGCAUGGUUCAAGUUUAAAAGAUUGGUUUCUGCUAUCACUAAGAGAUGGUCCCGCGGCGUAUUUAGCUAGAUGGUGAGGUAAUGGCUCACCAUGGCAAUGAUACGUAGCCGAGUUGAGAGACUGAUCGGCCACAUUGGGACUGAGACACGGCCCAAACUCCUACGGGAGGCAGCAGUAGGGAAUCUUCCACAAUGGACGAAAGUCUGAUGGAGCAACGCCGCGUGUGUGAUGAAGGCUUUUCGGGUCGUAAAACACUGUUAUAAGAGAAGAACGUCAGUGAGAGUAACUGUUCAUUGAGUGACGGUAUCUUAUCAGAAAGGGACGGCUAAAUACGUG
rnacentral:rRNA from 1 species